AUAUAUCAGUUUUGUGCCUGAAAGGCACCAGACCCUAUUUGAUCUUGGAUGUUUAGCAGAAUCGGCUGUAGUUAUUACUUGGAUGGGAGACCGCCAAGGAAUAUCAAGUCCUAUAUGCU
rnacentral:rRNA from 11 species